rnacentral:rRNA from 1 species
CCUACGGGAGGCAGCAGUGGGGAAUUUUGCGCAAUGGGCGAAAGCCUGACGCAGCAACGCCGCGUGGAGGAUGAAGGUCCUCGGAUCGUAAACUCCUGUCAGUGGGGACGAAAUCCCGCGAGGGAAUGACUGUACCCGCUGAGGAAGCCACGGCUAACUCCGUGCCAGCAGCCGCGGUAAUACGGAGGUGGCAAGCGUUGUUCGGAAUUACUGGGCGUAAAGGGCGCGUAGGCGGCAUGGCAAGUCAGAUGUGAAAGCCCCGGGCUUAACUCGGGAAUUGCAUCUGAAACUGCUUUGCUUGAGUCCUGGAGGGGGUAGUGGAAUUCCCAGUGUAGCGGUGAAAUGCGUAGAUAUUGGGAGGAACACCGGUGGCGAAGGCGGCUACCUGGACAGUGACUGACGCUGAGGCGCGAAAGCUAGGGUAGCAAACGGGAUUAGAUACCCCGGUAGUCCUAGCUGUAAACGAUGGGCACUUGGUGUCGGGGGUAUUGAGUCCCCCGGUGCCGGAGUUAACACGUUAAGUGCCCCGCCUGGGGAGUACGGUCGCAA